rnacentral:rRNA from 1 species
CCUACGGGGUGCUGCAGUGAGGAAUAUUGGUCAAUGGACGAGAGUCUGAACCAGCCAAGUAGCGUGAAGGAUGACUGCCCUAUGGGUUGUAAACUUCUUUUAUAAAGGAAUAAAACGUGGCACGUGUGCCUUUUUGCAUGUACUUUAUGAAUAAGGAUCGGCUAACUCCGUGCCAGCAGCCGCGGUAAUACGGAGGAUCCGAGCAUUAUCCGGAUUUAGUGGGUUGAAAGGGAGCGUAGAUGGGUUGUUAAGUCAGUUGUGAAAGUUUGCGGCUCAACCGUAAAAUUGCAAUUGAUACUGGCAGUCUUGAGUACAGUUGAGGUAAGCGGAAUUCGUGGUGUAGCGGUGAAAUGCUUAGAUAUCACGAAGAACCCCGAUUGCGAAGGCAGCUUACUAAACUGUGACUGACAUUGAUGCUCGAAAGUGUGGGUAUCAAACAGGAUUAGAUACCCUAGUAGUC